GAUGAACGCUGGCGGCGUGCCUAAUACAUGCAAGUCGAGCGAACAGACGAGGAGCUUGCUCCUCUGACGUUAGCGGCGGACGGGUGAGUAAAACGUGGAUAACCUACCUAUAAGACUGGGAUAACUUCGGGAAACCGGAGCUAAUACCGGAUAAUAUAUUGAACCGCAUGGUUCAAUAGUGAAAGACGGUUUUGCUGUCACUUAUAGAUGGAUCCGCGCCGCAUUAGCUAGUUGGUAAGGUAAAGGCUUACCAAGGCAACGAUGCGUAGCCGACCCGAGAGGGUGAUCGUCCACACAGGAACUGAGACACGGGCCAGACUCCUACGGAGGGCAGCAGUAGGGAAUCUUCCGCAAUGGGCGAAAGCCUGACGGAGCAACGCCGCGUGAGUGAUGAAGGUCUUCGGAUCGUAAAACUCUGUUAUUAGGGAAGAACAAAUGUGUAAGUAACUAUGCACGUCUUGACGGUACCUAAUCAGAAAGCCACGGCUAACUACGUG
rnacentral:rRNA from 1 species